UACGUAGGGUGCAAGCGUUAAUCGGAAUUACUGGGCGUAAAGCGUGCGCAGGCGGUUUUGUAAGUCUGACGUGAAAUCCCCGGGCUUAACCUGGGAAUUGCGUUGGAGACUGCAAGGCUGGAGUCUGGCAGAGGGGGGUAGAAUUCCACGUGUAGCAGUGAAAUGCGUAGAGAUGUGGAGGAACACCGAUGGCGAAGGCAGCCCCCUGGGUCAAGACUGACGCUCAUGCACGAAAGGCGUGGGGAGCAAACAGGAUUA
rnacentral:rRNA from 1 species